GUGCUUACUUUGACAGCACACAUACUAAAGGAGGAACAAUACAGAGAAAAUUGGCAAGACUUCUACACAUAGAAGACACGAAUUUGUAAAGCACUUCAUAUACUUUUU
rnacentral:snRNA from 1 species